rnacentral:rRNA from 1 species
UACGUAGGAGGCGAGCGUUGUCCGGAAUUACUGGGUGUAAAGCGCGUGUAGGCGGAUGCCCAAGUCUGGGGUGAAAUCACCUGGCUCAACUGGGUGGGGUCCUUAGAAACUGGGCGUCUGGAGGACGGUAGAGGCGAGUGGAAUUCCCGGUGUAGUGGUGAAAUGCGUAGAGAUCGGGGGGAACACCAGUGGCGAAGGCGGCUCGCUGGGCCGGCCCUGACGCUGAGGCGCGAAAGCGUGGGGAGCAAACAGG